rnacentral:rRNA from 1 species
GGGGGAGGGUUCACUCCGGGAUACCUGAUAUAAUAUCCGCCCUUCGGGGUAAACCCGGGGAGCGCUAUACCUUGAACUUUUGGAGCGGCCCAUUUCGGAUUGCCUAGUUGGUGGGGUAACGGCUCACCAAGGCGACGCUCCGUAGCUGGUUUGAGAGGACGACCACCCACACGGGGACUGACACACGGCCCACACUCCUACGGGAGGCACCCCUGGGGAAUUUUGGACAAUGGGGGAUUCCCUGAUCCAGCCAUCCCGCGUGUGCGAUGCAGGCCUUCGUGUUGUAGAUUUCUUUUGGCAAGACUCUGUUGUCGUGGAUUAAUACCCCCAGAAACUGACGGUACCUGCUUAACGGUACCGGCUAACUACCUGCCGCCAACCGCGUGACUACGUCCGGUGCAAUCGUUAAGUGGAAUUCCUGGUCGUAAAUUGUGCGCAGGCGGUCCCGAAAGAGUGAUGUGAAAUCCCAGAUGUUAACUCUGGAACUGCAUUCUUAACUACCGGGCUAGAGUGUGUCAGACUUGAGGUGCAAUUCCGGAUGUAGCAAUUGAAAUGUGUAGAUAUGAAAUGCGAACACAUAUGGAGAAACACCCUCCUGGAAAUAACACUAUACUGCUCAUGCACUAACGCUUGAGGCAGCAAACGCGUAUUAGAUACCCUGGUAUUCCACACCCUAAUAGAUGUCCACGUAACUGUAUGGGGUGCUUCGGUGCUUGGUAGUCGCCGCUCACUUCGUGAUGUAGACCAACGUGUUGAGUACUGCCCGCAGGAGUAAAACUGCCAAGGAAACUGACAGUCACCCGCACUAGACGGUGGAUGAUGUGAAUUGAUUCAAUGCGAC